rnacentral:rRNA from 1 species
AACGAACGCUGGCGGCAGGCCUAACACAUGCAAGUCGAACGCCCGUAGCAAUACGGGAGUGGCAGACGGGUGAGUAACGCGUGGGAACGUGCCCUUCGGUUCGGAAUAACUCAGGGAAACUUGAGCUAAUACCGGAUACGUCCGUAAGGAGAAAGAUUUAUCGCCGAAGGAUCGGCCCGCGUCGGAUUAGCUAGUUGGUGAGGUAACGGCCCACCAAGGCGACGAUCCGUAGCUGGUCUGAGAGGAUGAUCAGCCACACUGGGACUGAGACACGGCCCAGACUCCUACGGGAGGCAGCAGUGGGGAAUAUUGGACAAUGGGCGAAAGCCUGAUCCAGCCAUGCCGCGUGAGUGAAGAAGGCCUUAGGGUUGU